rnacentral:rRNA from 1 species
CGAUUUUCGCAAUGCCCGAAAGGGUGACGAAGCGACGCCGCGUGCGGGAGGAAGGCCUUCGGGUUGUAAACCGCUGUCGGGAGUUAAGAAAUGCAAGGAUGUUAAUAGCGUUCUUGCUUGACUAAGGCUCCGGAGGAAGCCACGGCUAACUCUGUGCCAGCAGCCGCGGUAAUACAGAGGCGGCAAGCGUUGUUCGGAAUUAUUGGGCGUAAAGAGCACGUAGGCGGCUGUGUAAGUCGGUUGUGAAAGCCUUCCGCUCAACGGAAGAACGGCAUCCGAUACUGCAUGGCUUGAGUGUGGGAGGGGAGAGUGGAACUUCUGGUGGAGCGGUGAAAUGCGUAGAUAUCAGAAGGAACACCGGCGGCGAAGGCGACUCUCUGGUCCAUAACUGACGCUGAGUGUGCGAAAGCUAGGGGAGCAAACGGGAUUAGAUACCCCGGUAGUCCUAGCCGUAAACGAUGGGCACUAGUAGAGGGGUUUU